rnacentral:rRNA from 1 species
CCGCGAAUUCGCCCUUGGGGUGCACCAGGCGCGAAAACUUUACAAUGCCGGCAACGGCGAUAAGGGGACCUCGAGUGCCAGGUUACAAAUCUGGCUGUCGAGAUGCCUAAAAAGCAUUUCAUAGCAAGGGCCGGGCAAGACCGGUGCCAGCCGCCGCGGUAACACCGGCGGCUCGAGUGGUAACCGUUAUUAUUGGGUCUAAAGGGUCUGUAGCCGGCCGGAUAAGUCUCUUGGGAAAUCCAGCAGCUCAACUGUUGGGCUUUCAGGAGAUACUGUCUGGCUCGAGGCCGGGAGAGGUGAGAGGUACUUCAGGGGUAGGGGUGAAAUCUUGUAAUCCUUGAAGGACCACCAGUGGCGAAGGCGUCUCACCAGAACGGACCUGACGGCAAGGGACGAAAGCUAGGGGCACGAACCGGAUUAGAUACCCGGGUAGUCCUAGCCGUAAACGAUACUCGCUAGGUGUCGGCCACGGUGCGACCGUUGUCGGUGCCGUAGGGAAGCCGUGAAGCGAGCCACCUGGGAAGUACGGCCGCAAGGCUGAAACUUAAAGGAAUUGGCGGGGGAGCAC